GCAUCAAUGGCCGAGCGGUUAAGGCGCCAGUUUCAAGCACUGGUUCGAAAGAGCGUAGGUUCGAAUCCUGCUUGAUGCA